AGAGUUUGAUCCUGGCUCAGGACGAACGCUGGCGGCGUGCUUAAUACAUGCAAGUCGAGCGGGGUUAUUCGAGAAGCUUGCUUUUUGGAUAACCUAGCGGCGGACGGGUGAGUAACACGUGGGGAAUCUACCCGCAAAACCGGGAUAACUCCGGGAAACCGGGGCUAAUACCGGAUGUGCUUCAUAGGCCACCUGGCCGGUGAAGUAAAGGAGGCCUCUGACAUAAGCUUUCGAUUGCGGAUGAGCCCGCGGCCCAUUAGCUAGUUGGUGAGGUAACGGCCCACCAAGGCGACGAUGGGUAGCCGGCCUGAGAGGGUGGCCGGCCACACUGGGACUGAGACACGGCCCAGACUCCUACGGGAGGCAGCAGUUGGGAAUAUUGGGCAAUGGGCGAAAGCCUGACCCAGCGACGCCGCGUGAGCGAUGAAGGCCUUCGGGUUGUAAAGCUCUGUCUUUGGGGACGAAAGGGCUGGGUAGGAAAUGACCCGGCACUGACGGUACCCGAGGAGGAAGCCCCGGCUAACUACGUGCCAGCAGCCGCGGUAAUACGUAGGGGGCGAGCGUUGUCCGGAAUUAUUGGGCGUAAAGGGCGAGUAGGCGGCGAUCUAAGUUGGAUGUGAAAUGGUCCGGCUCAACUGGAGCAUUGCAUCCAAGACUGGGUUGCUUGAGGGCAGGAGAGGGGAGCGGAAUUCCCGGUGUAGCAGUGAAAUGCGUAGAUAUCGGGAGGAACACCAGUGGCGAAGGCGGCUCUCUGGCCUGUACCUGACGCUGAACCGCGAAAGCUAGGGGAGCGAACGGGAUUAGAUACCCCGGUAGUCCUAGCCGUAAACGAUGGGCACUAGGUGUGGGAGGUAUCGACCCCUUCCGUGCCGGAGUUAACGCAAUAAGUGCCCCGCCUGGGGAGUACGGCCGCAAGGUUGAAACUCAAAGGAAUUGACGGGGGCCCGCACAAGCAGUGGAGCAUGUGGUUUAAUUCGAAGCAACGCGCAGAACCUUACCAGGCCUUGACAUCCUCUGCAAGCCGUAGAGAUACGGUCCCCCGGCUUUGCCGGGCAGAGAGACAGGUGCUGCAUGGUUGUCGUCAGCUCGUGUCGUGAGAUGUUGGGUUAAGUCCCGCAACGAGCGCAACCCCUGUCCUUUGUUGCCAGCACGUAAAGGUGGGCACUCAAAGGAGACUGCCGGUGACAAACCGGAGGAAGGUGGGGAUGACGUCAAAUCCUCAUGGCCUUUAUGGCCUGGGCCACACACGUGCUACAAUGGUCUGUACAGAGGGCCGCGACACCGCGAGGUGGAGCCAAUCCCCCAAAACAGGCCCCAGUUCAGAUCGCAGGCUGCAACUCGCCUGCGUGAAGCCGGAAUUGCUAGUAAUCGCGGAUCAGCACGCCGCGGUGAAUACGUUCCCGGGCCUUGUACACACCGCCCGUCACACCACGAAAGCUGGCAACACCCAAAGUCGGUGAGCUAACCCGCAAGGGAGGCAGCCGCCCAAGGUGGGGUUGGUGAUUGGGGUGAAGUCGUAACAAGGUA
rnacentral:rRNA from 1 species